GGAUCAAUGCGUCGGUCGUGCCUUCGGUACGUACUGGCGUCAUUGAUUCCUCCCUUCUGAAGAACCGUGAUGUCAUUAAUUUGGUGUUACGGGGAAUCAGGACUGUUACCUUGAAAAAAUUAAAGUGUUUAAAGCAGGCUAACGCUUGAAUACAUUAGCAUGGAAUAAUGAAAUAGGACGUUCGAACCUAUUUUGUUGGUUUCUAGGAUCGACGUAAUGAUUAAUAGGGAUAGUUG
rnacentral:rRNA from 1 species